rnacentral:tRNA from 1 species
GCCGGUGUGGCUCAGUGGACAGAGCAUUGGCCUGCAGAUCAAAGGGUCUCGGGUUCAAUUCCGGGCAAGGGCA